rnacentral:lncRNA from 1 species
GACGAGUUAGUCGUCUCCUGAACCUGGCUGGUGUUGGGUCGUACCGCUCUCAGAUACGUGAUCUAAGUGAGAAUUCGCUGUAAUGCAACUUUUCAAAUUACUUGGUAUCUUCCUGCUCGGGGUUCUCUUGGUCGUCGGUGCCGAUGCCAGAAAAAGGUGCCCUAAACUCGAACCUGGUACCAUUGGACUCUGCUGGGAGCGCUGCUCGACGCACGCCGAUUGCGCCCCUAAUGGCAAAUGCUGCAGCAACGGCUGCGGCCACGAGUGCUAUUACUGAAGCCUGAAUUUCGGCCAGAUGUUCAAAAUUCCUGUUUUCUCACUCAAGAAAAAAUUAAAGAAAUUUUACCCUCUUUUCGUUCAAGAAACAGUUCAGGGAAAUUGCACUCUUCUUUCACUCAAAGAAAAAGUCAAAAUAAGUUUAGCCUCCUCUAACACAAGAAAAAUGUUGAGGGAAUUCCAAACUCCUUUCAUUGGUGAAAAUUGCCAAUCAAUUGAGUUCUACUCUCCGUAACAAACGAACAUAUGUUUCUUCUUUUAUCUUAUAAGAUGUCGGUAACAUUUUUACUUAGAUUCUUUGCGAAACGAAUUAAAUUUCAUAUU